UAGUUGGUGAGGUAACGGCUCACCAAGGCUAAGACGGGUAGCUGGUCUGAGAGGACGACCAGCCACACUGGAACUGAGACACGGUCCAGACACCUACGGGUGGCAGCAGUCGAGAAUUUUUCACAAUGGGCGCAAGCCUGAUGGAGCGACGCCGCGUGGGGGAUGAAUGGCUUCGGCCCGUAAACCCCUGUCAUUCGCGAUCAACCCUUAUUAUUUAAAAGAUGAUAAGCUGAUAGUAGCGGAAGAGGAAGGGACGGCUAACUCUGUGCCAGCAGCCGCGGUAAUACAGAGGUCCCAAGCGUUGUUCGGAUUCACUGGGCGUAAAGGGUGCGUAUGUGGUGGGGUAAGUCGGAUGUGAAAUCUCGGAGCUCAACUCCGAAAUGGCAUUGGAAACUGCCCUGCUUGA
rnacentral:rRNA from 1 species